GGCUGAGGGCUGCAGGAGGUCGGGCCGGGACCGUCCGUCCGUGCGCUGCAGGCGCGGCCCUCACCGAGAGGGGCGGGGCUCGCUCGGCGUCCCCUCUGCGCUCUGGGUACAGAAUUCCCGGAACGCGCGCUGUGCUGCGAUGGUCGCUCGGUUUGCACUCUGGGCUGAGAGUCACUUGCGGGAGGCCGUUUCUGGAGGUCCCCCUGCAUGACCCCACCCCCAGGCGCAAGGACACGGUCUUCCACCGACUUGUCCAGGCAGCAAUUCCAGGACGAUUCCGCUGUGCUGUCCUGGGUUCCAGGCGCCUUAGGGCUGCUCUGGGUGGUGGACCGUCCCCACCCUCGGGGCAGCACCGGCACACUCUGGUCUGUCCCUGCCUCGGGGCAGCCCCGGACAUGAGGCCGUCUUCCCAGAGCUUGGCAGACAGCCCUGGGCAGUUCGACCGAAGGGAGGUCCCCGCCGGCAGCAGCUCAGUCGAGGAAUGGUGCAGCCUGCCCACUUGUGGCAGUGAGCCAUCAGUGUGACCCAUCCGAAGACCGUCAGGGCCAUGUCCCUCAUGACACCUCCUGUGUCCUCGGGAUGCCCUCUUCCAGCUCUGCUGGAAUAUGUGACAGAUCGUCGAGGUCACCCCACAUGCUGUGGAACACGCGUGUGUGCUUCAGUGACACGGAACACGUGUGUGUGCCUACGAAGCUCUCACGGAGCUGUGUACAGGAGGCACAGAAACAGAAGCCCCGAGUUCCCUCCAUGGACCUGCUGGAAGCUCCGCUUGGGGUCAGCACAGUUCCCUAACCUGGGAGACCAGGUCUGGGACACAUGUGCCCCCUCCUGUGUCUGGGAGGACGUCAGAGCCCCCAAGGGCCAGGGGUCUUGUAGACCACUCGCGGCUCCCUGCCCUACACCACAGCCACCUCCCUGGGCCUGGGGAACCCUCGCAGCACAGCCAAGCCCCAAAGGUGAGCUCUGACAUGGACAGGUCACUGGGUCUGUGUCCACCCAGAAGACAGGAGACCUCUUCUAAAGAUCCUUCACUUCAUUUCACGGGCAAGGACCUUUCUCCAGAGAAGGUCUUGUUCAGUGUCUGAGGAUUCGAAUGUAGAUGCGUCCUCUGUGGGUCGAACAGUGUGUCCCACAUUCAUGUCACCUGGAAUGUCAGACAGGACCUCGAUUGGUAACAGGGUCUCUGCAGAGGUCAUCAGUGAAGGGUCCCGAGAUGGGCUCCUCCUGGGAUAGGGGGCCCUCAUGCCAUGGCCAUGUCCUCCCAAGAGACAGAGGAGGGGACACAGACCCAGAGGAGGAGCCCCGUGGAGACGGAGGCAGAGACUGGAGUGAGGGGCCACCAGCCCAGGGCCACCUGGAGCCCAGGAGCUGGACAGGCAGGAGGAGCCCCCUGGAGCCCUGGAGGGAGCUCAGCCCGGGACCCUGGUCCAGCCUCUGCCCUCCAGGGCUGGGGACCUGGACUCCUGUUGUUGAAGUCCCUGAGAGUGGCCAUCAAGCCCAGGACACUCCCACAGGGCCACCGCGACCGCCCACCCUGCCCAUGUUGGAAGAGACGGGAAGGUCUCCCCUGCCAGCCCCCAGGCAGGACCUGCUGGCCAUGGCUCUUCUGAAGCGCUGCGUGGAGCAUUUUGUGCUGGUGGCCCCCCGUCCUCCCUGAUGUGCAGGGAGGACCCCACCCCCACAUCCGGGGUCCACCCAGCCCGUGGGAGGCGCCGUGGGGGGGCACGGUCCUGAUGCCCAGUCCUGUGCUGGUGCCUGGGGCCCACAGGCCAGCGAAGCCUCCCUG
rnacentral:lncRNA from 1 species